rnacentral:tRNA from 1 species
CUACAUAAUUAUUCCAACCUAAUUUACUUAUAUAUUGCCAAAGUAGCUCAGCUGGUAGAGUACUCAAUUCGUAAUUGAGUUGUCAUGGGUUCAAAUCCCUUCUUUGGCU